rnacentral:ncRNA from 2 species
ACUGUGGAUAGGGGUACGGUUUUCCACCGUACCGAAACCUAGCAGAGGGCCAGUCUGGUGCCAGCAGCUGCGGUAAUCCCAGCUCUGCGAGUUUGCUCCCAUAUUGUUGCAGUUAAAACGCCCGUAGUCUGAAUUGGCCAGCAAUGGUCGUACGUAUUUUUACGUUCACUGUGAACAAAUCAGGACGCUUAGAGUAUGGCCACAUGAAUGACUCAGCGCAGUAUGAAGUCUUUGUUUUCUUCCGAAAACAAGCUCAAUGAGAGCCAUCGGGGGUAGAUCUAUCUCAUGACGAGUGGUGGAAUACUUUGACUCAUGAGAGAGAAGCUGAGGCGAAGGCGUCUACCUAGAGGGUUUCUGUCGAUCAAGGGCGAGAGUAGGAGUAUCCAACAGGAUUAGAGACCCUGGUAGUUCCUACCUUAAACGAUGCCGACAGGAGUUUGUCAUUUGUUAAUGGCAGAAUCUUUGGAGAAAUCAUAGUUCUUGGGCUCUGGGGGAACUACGACCGCAAGGCUGAAACUUGAAGGAAUUGACGGAAGGGCACACCAGGGGUGGAGCCUGUGGCUUAAUUUGAAUCAACACGGGGAAACUUACCAGGACCAGAUGUUUUUUAUGACUGACAGGCUUCGGGUCUUUCAGGAUAUUGUUUUUGGUGGUGCAUGGCCGUUGGUGGUGCGUGGGUUGACCUGUCUAGCGUUGAUUCAGCUAACGAGCGAGAUUAUCGCCAAUUAUUUACUUUGCCGAAGUCCUUCGGUUAAAGUUCUAAUUGGGACUCCCUGCGAUUUUAGCAGGUGGAAGAGGGUAGCAAUAACAGGUCCGUGAUGCCCUUUAGAUGCUCUGGGCUGCACGCGUGCUACAAUGUUAGGAUCAAUAGGACUGCGAGCCUGAGAGGGUGCGCU